CCUACGGGUGGCAGCAGUGAGGAAUAUUGGUCAAUGGACGAGAGUCUGAACCAGCCAAGUAGCGUGAAGGAUGACUGCCCUAUGGGUUGUAAACUUCUUUUAUAUGGGAAUAAAAUGUUCCACGUGUGGGAUUUUGUAUGUACCAUAUGAAUAAGGAUCGGCUAACUCCGUGCCAGCAGCCGCGGUAAUAAGGAGGAUCCGAGCGUUAUCCGGAUUUAUUGGGUUUAAAGGGAGCGUAGGUGGAUUGUUAAGUCAGUUGUGAAAGUUUGCGGCUCAACCGUAAAAUUGCAGUUGAAACUGGCAGUCUUGAGUACAGUAGAGGUGGGCGGAAUUCGUGGUGUAUCGGUGAAAUGCUUAGAUAUCACGAAGAACUCCGAUUGCGAAGGCAGUUCACUGGACUGCAACUGACACUGAGGCUCGAAAGUGUGGGUAUCAAACAGGAUUAGAUACCCUUGUAGUC
rnacentral:rRNA from 1 species